GUCGAGCGAACGGAUAAGGAGCUUGCUCCUUUGAAGUUAGCGGCGGACGGGUGAGUAACACGUGGGUAACCUACCUAUAAGACUGGAAUAACUUCGGGAAACCGGAGCUAAUGCCGGAUAACAUAUAGAACCGCAUGGUUCUAUAGUGAAAGAUGGUUUUGCUAUCACUUAUAGAUGGACCCGCGCCGUAUUAGCUAGUUGGUAAGGUAAAGGCUUACCAAGGCGACGAUACGUAGCCGACCUGAGAGGGUGAUCGGCCACACUGGAACUGAGACACGGUCCAGACUCCUACGGGAGGCAGCAGUAGGGAAUCUUCCGCAAUGGGCGAAAGCCUGACGGAGCAACGCCGCGUGAGUGAUGAAGGUUUUCGGAUCGUAAAACUCUGUUAUUAGGGAAGAACAAAUGCGUAAGUAACUGUGCGCAUCUUGACGGUACCUAAUCAGAAAGCCACGGCUAACUACGUGCCAGCAGCCGCGGUAAUACGUAGGUGGCAAGCGUUAUCCGGAAUUAUUGGGCGUAAAGCGCGCGUAGGCGGUUUCUUAAGUCUGAUGUGAAAGCCCACGGCUCAACCGUGGAGGGUCAUUGGAAACUGGGAAACUUGAGUGCAGAAGAGGAAAGUGGAAUUCCAUGUGUAGCGGUGAAAUGCGCAGAGAUAUGGAGGAACACCAGUGGCGAAGGCGACUUUCUGGUCUGUAACUGACGCUGAUGUGCGAAAGCGUGGGGAUCAAACAGGAUUAGAUACCCUGGUAGUCCACGCCGUAAACGAUGAGUGCUAAGUGUUAGGGGGUUUCCGCCCCUUAGUGCUGCAGCUAACGCAUUAAGCAC
rnacentral:rRNA from 1 species